ensembl:lncRNA
GAAAAUUCUGAAAAUAAAUCUAGGAAAUAUUGGAUUGUUGGACUUCAAAUCAGUGGGCGAGCUGUUUUAUGGAUGGCAACUGUAAUAUUAUUUUACACUUUAGUUUAAGGUGUCCUUGUUACACGUUACAUGUAUUUACUCUUGUAAUAACAAUUGAUUAUGCAUAAUUACAUGCAAGUAACCCUAAGCCGAACCUUAAUCCUAACCAUAUAGUAAGUACAUGUAGUUAAUUAAUAUUACAAAGUACUUAAAUAUAUAAUUACACUGUAACAAAGACGCCUUACAAUAAAGUGUAACCCUGAAAUCUUAUUAGUAUUUACUUACCCUACUAGUUACUGCUCAAAGUAAUAUUAUUACUAGUAACUAGUUACUGCCCAACCCUGGUCAUGACUAACCCAACCAUCUCUUGUCCUCUAGCGUCCUUGAACAUGGCCUCCACGGCGGGGAUCAUCGGGGGCGUUGUUGGCGUGGCUGUUUUUGUGGGAAUCAUCAUCUGCUGCUGCUGCUACUGCCGUCGCCGGAGGGAAAAAGCUGAGGAAUACGCAAUGAGGACUCCUGAAGGAGGAGAGUUCACAGACAAGGACCCUGUAGAGAAAGAGGACGACCGCGACGAACACGUGAACUACGAGGAAGAGCGUCGCGUGAAAAGCGCAGACAGACUUGAUCUGCCUGACGACCGCAGCGAGAGGAGCUACGAUCGCCGCAGCGACUACGACGACCGAAGAGAUCACUACACCGACAGACGAGAUGAUCGCAGUGACCGGCGCGAGAGGUACGACAGAGACGACCGCCGCGACCGCUACGACGAUGGCAGAGAACAUUACGAUGAUCGCAGAGACCGCUACGAUGACCGUCGCGACCACUACGACGAUCGCAGAGACCGCUACGACAGCGACCGCUACGACAGUCGCGACAGACCGCCCAGCAUUCCACCGAAUAAACCCAAAGAACCGAGGAACUGAGUUCAGCAGACGCGGAGUCGAUCCUCAGAAAUACGCAGAAACUAGAGAAAAUGGACAACUAAUCCACUUACUAAAAAACUAAUCGUUUUUGUGUCUCAUAUGCUAGAUAUGAGAUUUGACAGAAUAAGGGCGUGUUCACACUUGGCGUCUUUUUUGACAAGAAAAAGUUGACAAGAGCGCUUAGUAAAAUAAGCGUAUAGCGUGUAGUAUAGUAAAAUAAAAAGCUGGUAGCGUUUUAACAACAGUAUAUAACAACAACAGUAGCCUAGUGCUGUGUGCUGCAGAAAUGUCAAGAAAAAAGUUGGCUCUUGCGUUGGCUUUUGAAGUUAACAGGGAGGAGAAUGUCGGUUCACAAUGACGUUUAUGUGUGCGUGACAUUAUACGGGGAAGGAAACGGUAUGGUGCUUACAACAAUUUAGUCCAGGAGGAGAGUUGGAUGAUGCACGGUUUGCAGAAUAUUUUAGACUAGACAGAGUUUUGUGCUCACAUCGUACAACUCCUUGUGCUCCAAAGCUAGUAUGAUCUAUCUACCUGCUAUCUUCUCCAUUUCUUCUUGUUGUUUUUGUUGUUAUGGAAACAACUCGCUGCUGGCUUCUCAUUGGUCAGCUGUCAAAAAGGCACUUGACGUAGGCCGUUUUUUUCAGAAAAGUUGUAACUUUUUUCAAGUUGAAAAGAGCUGCGGAAAAAGAUGCCAACGGUGGCAUUUUAAAAAGCGCUCAGGACAUUUUUGAAAACAUGGCUUACUCCCGUGUGAAAUAAAGCAAUAAGCUCCAAGAAGCCGUGGUUUAUAGUGAAUUUAUAACAGCUAAGGGGUAUUGUUAGGUACGACGCGAAGCGGAGUUAUAGCUGUUAUAAAUUCACUGUAAACCACAGCUUCACGGGGCUUAUUGCUUUUAUAAAACGGUUAUUCCAUAUACACAGUAAGGUUUCACAAAAUAAAACAGAGCAAAUAAAGUGUAAUGAUAUUAAUAAAAACAGUAUUCUUCCACCAAACAAUGUAGCUCCUCAGAAACAGUUGUGGUUGCAACAAAGUGGUUGCCGAGCAACAGACAAACGUAAACAAAGGUGUAUGUUACUUUGUAGAGUCAUUUACAACAGCUUCGAACGCGGAUCAGCCAAUCAGAAUCAAGCACCGGAACUAUCCGCUUUAUAAUGUAAAACAGAUGCUGGCAGCUUCAAAAAAGACUCCAAGUGUGAACAUAACCUAAAAGGGCUUUAAUAAAUCUACACUGACACACUUCAGUGUCGUGGCCAUUUAGUCUCUUAUGCGUUUAUAUUUUUUAAUGUGAAAUACUCUUAUAACGGUGUGUAAGCGGGAUGAUGGGGUUGGUUUGCUUUGAUUUUACUGCUGUUCAUUUGUAUUGUGAAAGGCUGUUGCUGUAUUCACGUCUAUGUUCAAAAGAGCCUUGUCUCAUAUUUACUUUAUUUUUCAGAUUUUUGUUGACUCUUUGUUGACAUGUUUCAUGUGGGAUUUUUCUAAACUCGUGUCUUCUUAACUGCAUUUAUAGGAAUAAGUAGUGUGAAUCAGUUAGAUUUCAGUUUCAUUUGUUUUUGUAUGGUUUCAGAAUAAAACAUUGAAGCAAAAGUCUUCUGAUGGUGGACAAAUGGGUUUCACUGAAGUUCCUGAUUCAGUUGUUUAACAUUCAAGCUUCUGUUUUAAACUGUGACAGAGUGAAGCUGAACUGCGGUGGUUAGUUUCCUAACUAUAACCCAUUUAUGGUCAUCUAUUGUCCAACCACUUCUCUCUUCAUUAUGAUUCAUUGUUAUGAAAAGUGGUCCUGUUGCUCUUGAUGAUGUCAAUCUGAGUUUUGCACCUGGCCAUUUUCAGCUAGGAUGUAAUUAAAUAUUCUUAAACAUUAAAGUUGAAUCAUGUCAAGGAAAACAUAUUCACCUGUAUAUGACAGAAAUGUAUUGUUCAACCUAGAGAAGAUCAUGCUGUUUUUUAUGAUUAAUUUGUUAUGAUUUUGAUUGAUUUCUAUAUACUUUAUGUUCUGAUAUUGUUUCUCAUGUAAUUUAUUUUGUAGGAUGUUAUAUGACAUUCAUUAAAUGCAUGUAUUUACUCCAGUUAUUAUUUCUCAGUGUGAGAGUAUUUUUAGAAAGUGUUGACUAAAUGACA